CACGUAGGGCGCAAGCGUUGUCCGGAAUUAUUGGGCGUAAAGAGCUCGUAGGCGGUCUGUUACGUCUGCUGUGAAAACCCAGGGCUUAACCCUGGGCUUGCAGUGGAUACGGGCAGACUAGAGGCAGGUAGGGAGAAUGGAAUUCCCGGUGUAGCGGUGAAAUGCGCAGAUAUCGGGAGGAACACCGGUGGCGAAGGCGGUUCUCUGGGCCUGACCUGACGCUGAGGAGCGAAAGCGUGGGGAGCGAACAGGAUUAGAUC
rnacentral:rRNA from 1 species